UUUUUUGUUUCGAUAUUUCGUUACAUACUUUGACUGGUGUUUAAAGUAAGCCGCAGAACGGAGAACAAGUUCUCUAUUCCGCCAAAUGAGUGCACAGUGUUAGAAAGUGGAGGUCAGGCCCUACAAAAGUAGACGCCCUAUAAUUCACUAAUGAUCCUUCCGCAGGUUCACCUACGGAAA
rnacentral:misc_RNA from 1 species